UACGAAGGGGGCUAGCGUUGCUCGGAAUCACUGGGCGUAAAGCGCACGUAGGCGGACUCUUAAGUCGGUGGUGAAAUCCUGGAGCUCAACUCCAGAACUGCCUUCGAUACUGAGAGUCUCGAGUCCGGGAGAGGUGAGUGGAACUGCGAGUGUAGAGGUGAAAUUCGUAGAUAUUCGCAAGAACACCAGUGGCGAAGGCGGCUCACUGGCCCGGUACUGACGCUGAGGUGCGAAAGCGUGGGGAGCAAACAGG
rnacentral:rRNA from 4 species